UAGAGCAUCCUCCAGAGCUGACCCAGAAUGUUCCGGGAGCCCAGCAGGGGGAAAGCCCUUCCAGAAGCUCUUGCUGAAGAGGCCCAGUCAGCAUCCCGGGACUGGGCUCUGGUGCGGGGAGGUGGGAGACUGUUUGUAUGGCCGCUAGUGCAGAUGGCCCCUUUCCUCAGAGUCCGGGCUGCCCUUGCACCCUGCUGACCACGUUCCUUUCCCCCAGCACAGGAGCUGGGUCCCUCCCAUGGUGGCGGGGAGCUCAGAACCUGAGACAUGUAGAUGAACCACCUUCCAAGGUGACUUUUCUUACAAGAACCUGGUUAGUUGAUCUUUUAUUGUCAUUGUUUUAAUUUUCCAAGAAUAAAUUAAAAAGCCUUUCUGCUGGAUUGGCAGGUGGAGA